CCCCUUCAAAAACCCACCAAGUAAGAAAGAAAAAUGGUAAAUUACUUAUAAAUUAAGCUACAGACUUGUACCUGCAAAGAACCUUACACCUUAAGACCUUGUCCUGAACAUAAAACCCUGGCAUCACCAUCAUCUUAACUCGGGUUGGACCAUGUGAUCUUUGCCUAUCCAUGAACAUGUCCUCCAUGUAAUGUGGAUCGAAGCUCCUAUUCUCUUCGACCCUUAAAAUUCCCAGGGGUGGACUGAAUGAAAAUGCAAGCAAAUGAA
rnacentral:misc_RNA from 1 species